rnacentral:rRNA from 1 species
CCCAGACUCCUACGGGAGGCAGCAGUGGGGAAUAUUGGACAAUGGGGGGAACCCUGAUCCAGCGACGCCGCGUGAGUGAAGAAGUAUUUCGGUAUGUAAAGCUCUCUCAGCAGGGAAGAAAGAAAUGACGGUACCUGACUAAGAAGCCCCGGCUAACUACGUGCCAGCAGCCGCGGUAAUACGUAGGGGGCAAGCGUUAUCCGGAUUCACUGGGUGUAAAGGGAGCGUAGACGGCGACGCAAGUCUGGAGUGAAAGCCCGGGGCCCAACCCCGGGACUGCUCUGGAAACUGCGGCGCUGGAGUACGGGAGGGGCAGGCGGAAUUCCUGGUGUAGCGGUGAAAUGCGUAGAUAUCAGGAGGAACACCGGCGGCGAAGGCGGCCUGCUGGACGACAACUGACGGUGAGGCGCGAAAGCGUGGGGAGCAAACAGGAUUAGAUACCCGAGUAAC